rnacentral:rRNA from 1 species
GACGAACGCUGGCGGCGUGCCUAAUACAUGCAAGUAGAACGCUGAAGAGAGGAGCUUACUCUUCUUGGAUGAGUUGCGAACGGGUGAGUAACGCGUAGGUAACCUGCCUUGUGGCGGGGGAUAACUAUUGGAAACGAUAGCUAAUACCGCAUAACAAUGGAUGACACAUGUCAUUUAUUUGAAAGGGGCAAUUGCUCCACUACAAGAUGGACCUGCGUUGUAUUAGCUAGUAGGUGAGGUAAUGGCUCACCUAGGCGACGAUACAUAGCCGACCUGAGAGGGUGAUCGGCCACACUGGGACUGGGACACGGCCCAGACUCCUACGGGAGGCAGCAGUAGGGAAUCUUCGGCAAUGGGGGCAACCCUGACCGAGCAACGCCGCGUGAGUGAAGAAGGUUUUCGGAUCGUAAAGCUCUGUUGUAAGUCAAGAACGGGUGUGAGAGUGGAAAGUUCACACUGUGACGGUAGCUUACCAGAAAGGGACGGCUAACUACGUG